AUUGAACGCUGGCGGCAGGCUUAACACAUGCAAGUCGAACGAGCGGCGGACGGGUGAGUAAUGUCUGGGAAACUGCCUGAUGGAGGGGGAUAACUACUGGAAACGGUAGCUAAUACCGCAUACCAUCGGAUGUUCCCAGAUGGGAUUAGCUAGUAGGUGGGGUAAAGGCUCACCUAGGCGACGAUCCCUAGCUGGUCUGAGAGGAUGACCAGCUACACUGGAACUGAGACACGGUCGAGACUCCUACGGGAGGCAGCAGUGGGGAAUAGUGCACAAUGGGCGCAAGCCUGAUGCAGCCAUGCCGCGUGUAUGAAGAAGGCCUUCGGGUUGUAAAGUACUUUCAGCGAGGAGGCGUUACUCGCAGAAGAAGCACCGGCUAACUCCGUGCCAGCAGCAGCGGUAAUAC
rnacentral:rRNA from 1 species